UUUCCAAUUCAUUUUCUAUUUUCUUGUCUUUUAUAUGACCUAAUCUUCCCAAACUACCCAUGCUCUCUCAAUUGCCUUAUCCUCUCCUCUUCCUAGGUCAUGAGCCUUCUUCCUUCUCUGUUCUUUUCUCAUUCCUCUUCUCUGGUACUCCCAUGGCCGCCGCCAUCCCCUAGUCGCAUUGGCCCUAGAGCAGCCCCCCUCCAAAUUCGGCCAAGGUUGCCCCCUCUGCAUCUGCUGCAGGAGGUAGUUUUAGGCGCGUCAGAGGUGCGGAGGUAGCUCCAUGAACUGCGAGCGGGCUGAUUUCGUCGCUGGGUCACAAUUUUGAUUGCUAAGCACAAGUGUACAUCCAGUAGUAGGAGGAAGACUACCACCCCAACAAGUGCUUGGGUUGCUUCAAAAGCUGUUCAUAUCCUUAGGAAGAAGCCAAUGGGUACUAAAGAGUUGCAGAAUCAAUUGCAAGAUAUGUACAAGUGCACAAUUCAUUACGAUACAGUGUGGAAUGGAAGACAGAAGGCUCUUACAAAAUUUUAUGGUAGCUGGGAAGAAAGUUUUCAGCAGCUAUUCAAUUGGAAGGAAGAGGUCAUGAAGCGGUCAUCAGAUAGUAUUAUUGAGAUUGACGUCCAGGUUAUUUGAUGGUCAGGUGUACUUCCAUAGGUUUUUCUGUGCUUUGAGUCCUUGCAUUGAAGGUUUUAAUGAAGGAUGCAGACCAUACCUUAGUGUAGACUCCACAACACUUAAUGGUAGGUUGAAUGGCCAUUUAGCUGCAGCCACAACACUAGAUGGUCACAAUUGGAUGUACCUUGUUGCCUAUGGAUUUAUAGAUGUUGAAACAACCUAUAAUUGGAUUUGGUUUAUGAUGAUGCUGCAUAGACCUAUAGGAGAUAUGCCUACACUUGCUGUUUGUUCAGAUGCAUGCAAAGGGUUAGAGAAUGCAGUGAAGGAAGUGUUCCCUCAAGCUGAAUGCGGAGAAUGCUUUAGGCAUAUUAUGCAAAACUUUAUCAAGAGGUAUGGUGGUGACACACACUCUAAGAUGUACCCCGCAAUAAGAGCAUAUUGGACCGAGGAGUUUCAAUAGCACAUGCAGACAGUGCUGGAUGCAUCUAGUGAUGUGUUAGUAUGGCUACAGAAGCAUCAUUCAUUGAAGUGGAUGAUAUGUGCCUUCAACCCAAAUAUCAAGUGUGAUUAUGUCAGAAAUAAUCUUGCUGAAUGUUUUAACAAUUGGAUCAAAGAGACAAAGGACCUACCUGCUUGUGAGCUUACAGACAAACUGAGAGAAAUGAUCAUGGUACUCUGGAAAAAGAGGAGAAGUAUUGGACCAAGAUUGACCGGCAAAAUCCUUCCAGCAAUUAUUCAGCAACUAAAAGCAAAAACUAAGGGAUUAGGACACUUGACAGUGGUGAAAGCAGACAGUGUUCAAGGUGAAAUAUGGAAUAAUAGUAGCGGGUCGAGGAAUGUUAAGGCACCUUUGAAAGAAUGUACACGCUUGGAGUGGCAGCACACAGGGAAGCCGUGCCAGCCUGCUUUGGCGCUGCUAACAGCACAACAACACAGAAAUGUUAACCUAGAGGACUAUGUUCAUGAGUACUACUCUGUGGAGAGGUUCCAAAAUGCAUACAAGAGACUCAUUGAGCCAUUGCCUGACAAGUCACAUUAGCCACGUGUAGAAUUGCCUUUUGUAGUAGCAGCAACAUUUGUUCCAAGGGGUGUUGGAAGGCAAAGGAAACUCAGGAUCAAAAGCUUCCUUGAAGGUGGUGGUGGAAAAUCAAGUGCCAAAUCUGGUAGUAAAUCUGAUAACAAAGAUGGCAAUAACGAGGUUGACAAAGGAAAGAAACAGAUGAUCAGAGGCAAACGAAAGCGCAACAGAUAUGGAGAAUUGGGCCAUGGAAGAGGAAACCAAGAAAAAAAUAAUACCAUACUAUGCCAAAAAAAGAAGAAGGGGAAAGCUACUACUGAAGUUCCCACCAUGGAAUCAAUAUUGCAUAAUAGCCCUGGUAGGGUUACUAGAAGCCGACUUGCAAUGCUGCAAAGAGGAGAAGGCACCAGUACCCAGCCAACAAUGGCAGCUUCACCCACCAAGCAAAAAACUUCAGACAACAAGAGUCCUGCAAGGAAGCUGACACCUAUGAGAUUGAAGAUUAAUUGAGUUGUGAACUCCAAGUCAUAGAUAUUUGUGUACCUGUGAACUUAGUAUUUGUGAUCUAAAUGUACCUAUCCACUAAGUAUCUGUGAGCUAUUCUUGUGAACUCAUUAUUUGUGAACCCAGUACUCAGUAUUUGUGAGCUAUCUGCGAUCUAAAUGCAAGCCAAGAUAUUGCAUCA